AUACGUAGGGUGCGAGCGUUGUCCGGAAUUACUGGGCGUAAAGAGCUCGUAGGUGGUUUGUCGCGUCGUCUGUGAAAUUCCGGGGCUUAACUCCGGGCGUGCAGGCGAUACGGGCAUAACUUGAGUACUGUAGGGGAGACUGGAAUUCCUGGUGUAGCGGUGAAAUGAGCAGAUAUCAGGAGGAACACCGGUGGCGAAGGCGGGUCUCUGGGCAGUAACUGACGCUGAGGAGCGAAAGCAUGGGUAGCGAACAGGAUUAGAUACCCUGGUAGUCCAUGCCGUAAACGGUGGGCGCUAGGUGUAGGGGUCUUCCACGACUUCUGUGCCGUAGCUAACGCAUUAAGCGCCCCGCCUGGGGAGUACGGCCGCAAGGCUAAAACUCAAAUGAAUUGACGGGG
rnacentral:rRNA from 1 species